rnacentral:rRNA from 1 species
AGAGUUUGAUCCUGGCUCAGGACGAACGCUGGCGGCGUGCUUAACACAUGCAAGUCGAACGAAGAGCGAUGGAAGCUUGCUUCUAUCAAUCUUAGUGGCGAACGGGUGAGUAACGCGUAAUCAACCUGCCCUUCAGAGGGGGACAACAGUUGGAAACGACUGCUAAUACCGCAUACGAUCCAACCUCAGCAUCGAGGAUGGAUGAAAGGUGGCCUCUAUUUAUAAGCUAUCACUGAAGGAGGGGAUUGCGUCUGAUUAGCUAGUUGGAGGGGUAACGGCCCACCAAGGCAAUGAUCAGUAGCCGGUCUGAGAGGAUGAACGGCCACAUUGGGACUGAGACACGGCCCAGACUCCUACGGGAGGCAGCAGUGGGGAAUCUUCCGCAAUGGACGAAAGUCUGACGGAGCAACGCCGCGUGAGUGAUGACGGUCUUCGGGUUGUAAAGCUCUGUUAAUCGGGACGAAAGGUCCUCUUGCGAAUAGUUAGAGGAAUUGACGGUACCGGAAUAGAAAGCCACGGCUAACUACGUGCCAGCAGCCGCGGUAAUACGUAGGUGGCAAGCGUUGUCCGGAAUUAUUGGGCGUAAAGCGCGCGCAGGCGGAUCAGUCAGUCUGUCUUAAAAGUUCGGGGCUUAACCCCGUGAUGGGAUGGAAACUGCUGAUCUAGAGUAUCGGAGAGGAAAGUGGAAUUCCUAGUGUAGCGGUGAAAUGCGUAGA